rnacentral:rRNA from 1 species
GCUUAAUUUGACUCAACGCGGGAAACCUUACUAGGGUAGGACAUUAAUAUGAUUGACAGGCUGCGUGGCUUUUCUUGAUUUAAUGGGUGGUGGUGCAUGGCCGAUCUUAGUUGGUGGGGUGACUUGUCUGGUUAAUUCCGAUAACGAACGAGAUCCGAGCAGUUUUGUUGCUUNNUUAAUUACUUAGGUAGUUUGAAGUUCCUAAAUGGACCAUCAGAAUNAAUCUGAAGGAAGUGACGGGCUAAAUCAGGUCUGUGAUGCCC